rnacentral:tRNA from 1 species
UGGAGAAAUACUCAAGAGGCCGAAGAGGCGCCCCUGCUAAGGGCGUAGGUCGGGUAACCGGCGCGAGGGUUCAAAUCCCUCUUUCUCCGCCAU